UAGUUUUAAUGAAUCUACCAGACAUAGGCUAGGCAGAGUGAAUGGAAGGUGGUGCCAGACAUAGGCUAGGCAGAGUGAAUGGAAGGUGGUGCCAGACAUAGGCUAGGCAGAGUGAAUGGAAGGUGGUGCCAGACAUAGGCUAGGCAGAGUGAAUGGAAGGUGGUGCCAGACAUAGGCUAGGCAGAGUGAAUGGAAGGUGGUGCCAGACAUAGGCUAGGCAGAGUGAAUGGAAGGUGGUGCCAGACAUAGGCUAGGCAGAGUGAAUGGAAGGUGGUGCCAGACAUAGGCUAGGCAGAGUGAAUGGAAGGUGGUGCCAGACAUAGGCUAGGCAGAGUGAAUGGAAGGUGGUGCCAGACAUAGGCUAGGCAGAGUGAAUGGAAGGUGGUGCCAGACAUAGGCUAGGCAGAGUGAAUGGAAGGUGGUGCCAGACAUAGGCUAGGCAGAGUGAAUGGAAGGUGGUGCCAGACAUAGGCUAGGCAGAGUGAAUGGAAGGUGGUGCCAGACAUAGGCUAGGCAGAGUGAAUGGAAGGUGGUGCCAGACAUAGGCUAGGCAGAGUGAAUGGAAGGUGGUGCCAGACAUAGGCUAGGCAGAGUGAAUGGAAGGUGGUGCCAGACAUAGGCUAGGCAGAGUGAAUGGAAGGUGGUGCCAGACAUAGGCUAGGCAGAGUGAAUGGAAGGUGGUGCCAGACAUAGGCUAGGCAGAGUGAAUGGA